GUGGAUUAUAUAAAUGAAUUAUCUUAUUUCAUAAAAUUAUAUUCAUGUAAAUUUAAAUUUAAUUAUCUAUACGGGUGGAUUAUAUAAAUGAAUUGACUCUGCACUUUUAAAGAGCGGGUCUAAAUCUAGUAAUUUGAUUUGAAAACGUAUAAUUCGAAAACAUAAAAAAAAAUUACAUUUUUUUUAUUUUGUUUUUUUUAUUUUUUUAUUUAUUUUUUUAUUUAAAUAAAUAUUUAUUAUAUAUAUAAAUAACAAGGGUAUAAUAGUCUUUUGCCACUUAAUGAAGAAUGUAUUUUUGAAAAUGUAUCAUUAGUGGUGGUAAAAAUAAAAAGUGGUACCAUGAAAGUGGUAAACAUGUAAUUUUUCCAACACAUUAUUACUCUUUCAUAGUUUCAAC
rnacentral:lncRNA from 1 species